rnacentral:rRNA from 1 species
GAGUUUGAUCAUGGCUCAGAUUGAACGCUGGCGGCAUGCCUUACACAUGCAAGUCGAACGGCAGCACGGGAGCAAUCCUGGUGGCGAGUGGCGAACGGGUGAGUAAUAUAUCGGAACGUGCCCAGUCGUGGGGGAUAACGCAGCGAAAGCUGUGCUAAUACCGCAUACGAUUACGGAUGAAAGCGGGGGAUCGCAAGACCUCGCGCGAUUGGAGCGGCCGAUAUCAGAUUAGCUAGUUGGUGGGGUAAAGGCCCACCAAGGCGACGAUCUGUAGCUGGUCUGAGAGGACGACCAGCCACACUGGAACUGAGACACGGUCCAGACUCCUACGGGAGGCAGCAGUGGGGAAUUUUGGACAAUGGGCGCAAGCCUGAUCCAGCAAUGCCGCGUGCAGGAUGAAGGCCUUCGGGUUGUAAACUGCUUUUGUACG